rnacentral:rRNA from 1 species
GUAGGGGGCAAGCGUUAUCCGGAUUUACUGGGUGUAAAGGGAGCGUAGACGGCACGGCAAGCCAGAUGUGAAAGCCCGGGGCUCAACCCCGGGACUGCAUUUGGAACUGCUGAGCUAGAGUGUCGGAGAGGCAAGUGGAAUUCCUAGUGUAGCGGUGAAAUGCGUAGAUAUUAGGAGGAACACCAGUGGCGAAGGCGGCUUGCUGGACGAUGACUGACGUUGAGGCUCNAAAGCGUGGGGAGCAAACAGGAUUAGAUACCCUGGUAGUCCACGCCGUAAACGAUGACUGCUAGGUGUCGGGUGGCAAAGCCAUUCGGUGCCGCAGCUAACGCAAUAAGCAGUCCACCUGGGGAGU